AGCUCCAAUAGCGUAUAUUAAUGUUGCUGCAGUUAAAAAGCUCGUAGUUGGAUUUCUGACUUGGCGCACCUGGCCCGCCACGGUUACGUGUGUGAGUGCCGGGAUGCGCCUGUCACUUUUCUAGUAAACUAUUGUGCUCUUCAUUGAGUGCGAUAGGUAGCUAGAUAUUUUACUUUGAAAAAAUUAGAGUGUUUAAAGCAGGCGUUUGCUAUGAAUACAUUAGCAUGGAAUAAUAAGUUAGGACUUCGGUUCUAUUUUGUUGGUUUCUAGGACUGAAGUAAUGAUUGAUAGGGAUAGUUGGGGGUGCUAGUAUUCAGCGGCCAGAGGUGAAAUUCUCGGAUUCGCUGAAGACUAACUUAUGCGAAAGCAUUCACCAAGGAUGUCUUCU
rnacentral:rRNA from 1 species